GUACUGAUGAAGAGUUCUUACCUAGGACGAAACAGCUGUCCAGUAU
rnacentral:hammerhead_ribozyme from 1 species